UUUUCAAAGAUCUGUUUAUUAAUUGUCACCAAGGCCACUUAGGAGCAGCUAAUCAUGGGUGUGAGGAGGCACCCAGAAGGGGCUGAUGCCUCAAACACCGAGAGCCAGCCCGCCCUCCGUCCCUCCCUCCCUUCCCCCCUCCUCCCUUCCCUGGCAGUUCUGGACAGAGUUCUGUAUCUGAAACUUGUCUGCGGCCUUAUGGCUCAGGAGGUGGCCAGGGUGACCGUCACUGAGAUGUCUGCAGAGGAGUCCACAUGGAUCGGUCCCUUUUCCAUCCCUGUAGGAGGCACCCACCCCCGGUGCCCGCCUCGGAAGAGCUGCGGCAGGAGCUGCAGGUUGUGCGGGACGGGGAAUGGCCGAAGCCCCCGGCAAGGGGCCGGGAAUGGACACUGAUCCUUUGCUGACCAUAGGCUCGGGGCCCUGCGGCGCCGGGCGAGGGUAUGCCGCUUAUCCCGGGACUCUGCGGAAGCCGGAACAGCGAAAGAGCCCGGGCUAAACAUUAGCACCGGGGCCUGAGGGAGUCUCCCUGUCCCGGAUCCCCAUCCGCGGCCUGGGGCAGCUCCCGGGAUCUUUAGGGCAGGGAGAAGCCGGAGGUACUUAAUUUGGAUGGGUUAUAACAGUGGCUGUUGACAUGGGUGUGUGUAACAAAAAGGAACUUCGGUUCCUUUCCGUGUAAUACUUUCUGUAGCAUUUGGGACACGAUCUUGCUGGUAUCUCAGAAGGGAAAAGACAACAAAUGAGAGACAGAAACAGGAAUGACAGAGGUCUGGCAUGGCUUAUACCCCCACCUCCCCUGCCUAUGGGGUUGCUUCCCACAGCAGGUACGUGUGAUCUUCUCGGUGGUGAGUACAGUGCUCAGUCCAGGCUUGCCCUCUGUUUCCCUUGUCACUCCUUUUUACUCAUUUUUAUUUUGGCAAGUCCUUUUUGACACUCCUUAACUGUGGCUUCCCACUGUUCCUCAGGUAUUUCUCAGCUAACAGGCACUGAUAAUUCCCAUCCACAAGACAAAGUUAUUACUUCAGUUGUUUUGAGUUUUAUCUGUAUAGGGGAUAGAUUCAGUACUUGAUACUUCUUGCAAUGAGAGCAUACAUUUUGUGAACUACAAUACCAAUUAUUCUCAUAAUUUGAACAUUUACUUAUAACCCAUCUAGCGUGUCCAGUAUUGGGAUGAAUCAAAUAAAGUAUACAGUAUAGUAUUAAUGGUAAUUUCUCUUCUUCCCUGUACAAGUCACAGACUAAGGCCAGAAUAUAAGAACUCUUUGAUUAAAAUAGUCCUGAUCCUCCUGUUUGAAGUGGCAGUGUUCCUCUCCCGAGGAGGUGUCAAAGGCGUCUUAGGGCUUAUUCAGGCAAUGCUUAAAACCAGUGAUGCAAGCUUUGCCUUAUUUCUCAGUGAGGUGUUAUUCUUUGUACUUUCCUUGGUUCAUUUGGGUCUUCCCAAACCAUUACCACUCAGUCCCAGUUGAAAGUCAAUUUGGUAUCACCCGGUUUAGAUGUGAUAGUCCAUUCCUUACAUUUCUUCAUAAAUUCUUUGAUUUUGCUGUCAUGAAUUCACCCUCUUUCUGUGGUUCGGAUUGCUGUUUUAGUGGUACCUGGAAAGGACUUCUUAAUAACACAGUGUUAAAAGAAAAACAAUACUGCAUUAACUUUUACCAUUAGUUUUCUUCAAAACUUUUUGGAUUUAACUAAAAACUUUUUCUACAUCCGCUUCUUCUUCUAGUGUCCAGCUGUGUUAAUAGCUGCAGAGGCCAAUUCUUCUUCCUGUGAGCUAUAAUCAGUUAAAUAAAAAAAGGUUAGGUUAAUUUUAACACAAGAUGUAUCACGUCUCUUGCUUUUUACUUUUUGGGCAACAUUUAACUUUUAGUCUUACAGACCCAUUCUUCAGAACAAAAGUCUCCUCUUCUUAACAACAAAAAUCAGAAAGAAAAAGAUACCUUGUUUAAAAAAAUAAACCACUUUGUGAGAGUCAGCUAUCUCUGCCUUGAUCUUCUCUCUAGCAGUGGUCCCACUCUCCCUCUUUUCACAGCUUUGCGUUUAACUCGUGUCUUCUGCCUCUCCCCCCUUGUUGUUACUCUACCUAGCAGGGAUGGGGGAGAACUUAGAGACAGCCAUGGACGUGGGGAGCUUAGAGGCUUAUUUCACUCUCCCCUUCGCUCUCUCUCUCUAUGUCUCCCUUUCUCUCUGUCUCUCUUUUUCUCUCUUCACAUUUAACAUCUACAUUCCAACAUCAGUCCACUUUCUAACGUUAGUCUACAUUUACUUUUGUUAUGCGUGUUCUGCAGUUGUGUAAUUCAUGGCACCCUCCACCAAGGCUACUGGCCACUCACAGCUGACACAGUGCCAAAACUAAAGACUUGUUUUACUAUCACUAUUUUUCCAUUCACAAGCUUGAACGAGGUAAAUAACAACUUACUUCCAAAGUGACCCUGCAUGCACUAAAAAAUUUAAGGCAAUGCUAGUUAGUGCAAUGCAAUUUGCAACGAAGCCAAGGUUUGACUUGGGAAGGGCAUCUGAGGACACAGAGCAUGAAUUUUACAAUUCUAUAAUUUGAAGAGGGAAUGGACAAAAUAUGAAUAGAGGGGACAGCAAGUAAGGAAUUUGUCUCUGCAAUACUUUCUCUUUGACUGCCAGGAAACAGAGUCUAAAGAGGUUCUUACGGUACCAACAAUAACUGUAUGGGAAGAGGCGCUCUUGAAUUCAAGCUUGAAUGUCAAAAUAGGAAACUGCCCCUGAGCACUGCAGUGCUGGAGCACCCUGCCUGCAAACUCACCAGAGGCAAGCCACUGCUGCCACGCUGCAGGGCUGCCUGCAGCACAGAGGGAAUCAUGGCCAAGCCCUCCCUGCAGGCGUGGAUAAACCAAACAAGGAACUCACAACUUCCUCACAGCUUUCCAACUCAUUCAAGAAAUAAAACUACAGCCAGCAGAGAUCCCCCCCAUCUUUUUCAUGUGUGUGUGUGUGUCACACACCCAUAGUGAUGCUGAAAGUAACAAAUUACAGUUUACAUUAAAGAUACUGAAACCUUUUCUUCAUCUAGCUUUGUAGGUUCCCUUCUAUAUAUGUAGCCACCUCUAAUUCUGGAUCAAAAAUGAGCCCUAUUUUUCAGAAAUGCUACGUAUACACAAGUUGAGCUGCUGUUCCAGGUGCACUGCAAGUAGUCCGCACUUCCAGAAAAACUAACAAAAAAAAAGCAAAAGCCAAGAAAGCAAAACACCUUUGGGUACAUGAAAAAGGACUGGCUGGAAGGAAAAAUGUUUCUCAUUGACCUACUAAGCAGAUGGUGUUACCUUUAGUUUAACUUUACACACUGAGAACCAGUUGAUUGAACAGCUUCCCAUUGACUCAAAAUAAAUGAAAAGCAGGUUUUGCUAUAUCACAGCUGUAAAUAGUUUUCCAAUCUUAGAGUACAGCGAGUUACAUAUUUCAAGAUGAAAAAUCACAAUGAAAAUUGGAAGAAAUAAUUUAAACUACUUGUACAUAGCAAAGGGAAGAGAAUUAGCUGAAUCAACAGCUCAAUGAAGACAUCUGCUCAGCAUGAAGCAUCCUCCCCUAUUUCUUUCCCCAUGCUGAACUACCUUGUUAAUUUUUUUUUUUAUCCUCUUGGCCUAAUUUUGAAACUCUAGCUGUCAUCUGCCCAUCUUCUGGGAUAAUCCCUAUUCCUAAUUUCACUUGUUAAAUCUCAUCCCAAUAAGUUGUUACCCACCCCUGGGACUAAUAAAACAUCCCCUAUUUAAAAUUUAGUUUCUCCCUCAAUUACCACAUUUUUAAUGACAGGAACUGUAAAACUCCUUUUUGCUCCUGUCACUUUACAGUAUUUUUGUUCACAGUAUAACAUUUUGGAAUAUUUAACAGACAGUUUCUUUCUGCCCCUGUGUCUAUCACAAAUUCCAAUUAUUUUUCUUGGGGACCCACUUUUAAAGUUAUCACAGGCUCUAGAUAGUAUUUGUCCAUUAAAAAAUAGUCUCUGACAUCUUUAUUCUUCCUCUGUGCUUAUUUCUCAGAAGAUUUUCAGAUCUGUUUCCCUCUUAGGACAAUCUCUCCUAUAAUGUCCUUUGCUCUUACAGUAAAAGCAGACAUUCCUGGAAUGCUCCUCACACUUGGUUUGUAUUGGGGUUUUAUUCUUUCCUGUUCCCCUGUCUCUACUACUGUCAUGAAUCUGGUAGUAGUGUUUGUGUGGUUUUGCUUUUUUUUUUUUUUUUUUGUAAUUGUUUUCUCAUAUGGUGACUGCUACAAUCCUUGCUUUUAGUUUGGCUUUGGUCACAGACUUUCUGAGCCUCCUUUAAUAAAUCAUUUAAUGAUUUGUUAUGCUGAUCUUCAAUUUUUUCUAAUUUUUUCCUAAUAUCUGGCCAAGCACCAGUAACAAAGUUAAUACUUCACAAAGCUUUUCUCACAUCAAUCUCAUGACCUGUUCCGGAACGUUGCCUUAUAUUUCUCCCAAGUCUGUCUAACCAUUCGGUUGGAGCCUCCUCUUUCCCCUGCUGUGCCUCAAAAGCCUUGUCAGCAUUUUGCCCUCGAGUACUGCCCCUCCCAUUCUCUUGACCAUUAAAUUCCUGACCCCGUUCAGCAGGUGCUUCCUCUAGAGAGUUUCCCUUCGAGCCGGGGCAACUUGCAAAAGGAUCCCAGUCUCUUUCUUUCCUCCCUUCCUCCUGUUCCCAGCCUUUUUCUCCCAUCUCCCCCCAAUCCCCCCCGCCCCGUUUUUUCCUCUCUUGCGUUGUCUCGGUGGUUUCUGAUACUUUGAAGAUUUUUUUAUUCUCCUAAAAUCUCCCAUUCAGCAUAUGGCAUAUUCUUUCUUCUGGAUUGAAUGGUUCUUUUGAAUUUAUAAAUAAAUUUUAGAGCCUAA